rnacentral:rRNA from 1 species
GUAGCACAGGAAUAAGCCUCGGCUAACUACGUGCCAGCAGCCGCGGUAAAACGUAGGAGGCGAGCGUUAUCCGGAGUUACUGGGCGUAAAGCGCGUGUAGGUGGCUUGUUGCGUCUGCUGUGAAAGCUUCCGGCUUAACCGGGACUAUGCGGUAGAUACGGGCAAGCUAGAGGGUGACAGAGGAGCGUAGAAUUCCGGGUGUAGUGGUGAAAUGCGUAGAGAUCCGGAGGAAUACCAGUGGCGCAAGCGGCGCUCUGGGUCGAGCCUGACACUGAGACGCGAAGGCAUGGGGAGCGAACGGGAUUAGAAACCCCGGUAGUCCAUGCAGUAAACGAUGCAGACUGGGUGUGGGUAGCGCAAGCUAUCUGUGCCGAAGCUAACGCGCUAAGUCUGCCGCCUGGGAAGUACGGUCGCAAGACUAAAACUCAAAGGAAUUGACGGGGGCCCGCACAAGCAGCGGAGCGUGUGGUUUAAUUCGAGGCUACACGAAGAACCUUACCUAGGGUCGACAUAUUGGUGGUAGUGAACCGAAAGGGGAACGACGCUUCGGCGAGCCAGUACAGGUGCUGCAUGGUUGUCGUCAGCUCGUGCCGUGAGGUGUUCGGUUAAGUCCGAAAACGAGCGCAACCCUCGGGGUGCGUUACAUGUGUCGCACGCGACUGCCCGUGAGAAACGGGAGGAAGGUGGGGAUGACGUCAAAUCAGCAUGGCCUAUAUCUCUAGGGCUACACACACGCUACAAUGGACGGUACAGUGCGUUGCGAAGGCGCGAGCCGGAGCCAAUCGAGAAAGCCGUUCGAAGUUCGGAUUGCAGGCUGCAACCCGCCUGCAUGAAGCUGGAGUUGCUAGUAACCGCGCGUCAGCCAUAGUGCGGUGAAUACGUUCCCGGGCCUUGUACACACCGCCCGUA